UGGGGAAUAUUGGACAAUGGGCGCAAACCUGAUCCAGCAAUACCGCGUGUGUGAAGAAGGCCUGAGGGUUGUAAAGCACUUUCAAUGGGGAGGAAAAAGCGCAGGUUAAUACUCUGCGUAUUGACAUUACCCAUACAAGAAGCACCGGCUAACUCCGUGCCAGCAGCCGCGGUAAUACGGAGGGUGCGAGCGUUAAUCGGAAUUACUGGGCGUAAAGCGUGCGUAGGCGGCCUGUUAAGUCAGAUGUGAAAGCCCUGGGCUCAACCUGGGAACGGCAUUUGAAACUGGCAAGCUAGAGUUGGGUAGAGGGGAGUGGAAUUUCAGGUGUAGCGGUGAAAUGCGUAGAUAUCUGAAGGAACACCAGUGGCGAAGGCGGCUCCCUGGACCCAAACUGACGCUGAGGUACGAAAGCGUGGGUAGCAAACAGGAUUAGAUACCCCCGUAGUCCCUGAGCGGGCUGGCAAGGCGCAU
rnacentral:rRNA from 1 species